rnacentral:rRNA from 1 species
UACGUAGGGUGCAAGCGUUGUCCGGAAUUAUUGGGCGUAAAGAGCGUGUAGGCGGCUUGGUAGGUCCGCUGUGAAAACUCGAGGCUCAACCUCGAGAUGUCGGCGGAAACCACUUGGCUAGAGUCCGGAAGAGGAGAGUGGAAUUCCUGGUGUAGCGGUGAAAUGCGCAGAUAUCGGGAGGAACACCAAUGGCGAAGGCAGCUCGCUGGGACGGUACUGACGCUGAGGCGCGAAAGCGUGGGGAGCAAACAGG